UACAGAGGGGGCAAGCGUUGUUCGGAAUUACUGGGCGUAAAGGGCGCGUAGGCGGCCUUCUAAGUCGAACGUGAAAUCCCCCGGGCUCAACCGUCGGAACUGCGUCCGAUACUGGAAGGCUUGAAUCCGGGAGAGGGAUGUGGAAUUCCAGGUGUAGCGGUGAAAUGCGUAGAUAUCUGGAGGAACACCGGUGGCGAAGGCGACAUCCUGGACCGGUAUUGACGCUGAGGCGCGAAAGCCAGGGGAGCAAACGGG
rnacentral:rRNA from 1 species